GAGUUUUAUAAUUGAUUUUAUUAAAUAAAUUUAUAAAUAUAAUAUAUAAAAUGAAAUUAAUUAUUAUAUUGGGGUGAUAGAAAAAUUUAAUAAACUUUUUUUAAAAAAUUAACAUUAAUAAAUGAAUUUAUGAUCCAUAUUUAAUGAUUAUAAGAAAAAAUUACCUUAGGGAUAACAGCGUGAUAUUUUUUUUUAGAACAAAUAAAAAAAAAAGAUUGC
rnacentral:rRNA from 1 species